AAAGUCAAACGCAUAUAUGACCCCGAUUACUUUAUAACACACGUGACAUGGAUGUUGCGUUUGUGAAGAAAUGAGGAGUUUGCAAAACGAAAGUAACAUGAACUGUAGAACAAAAAGACCGAUGAUUAUAAUUUCAUUCUGUAAUCAUGAAGCGACAACUAAAGCAGCAGUCUAUUGAAUCAUUUUUCGAGAAUUCGCCGAAACGACAGAAGGCUUAGCCCGGUCUGUUCACCGACAAAGUCAAAACACAGAUCGUCAUUUUUACCGACUGAAUGAAGAAAUAUUUAUGGCUAAAGUACCACGAAGAUGAAGGCAUGUUUUGUAAAUAGGACAGCAGACCUAUGGACACAGAUCAGAAAAAGAAAUAUCACCAUCACCACAUUGUUUGAUCCUGAGGACAAUGAAGUGUGAAGUUGGGCUGUAAGAAAAUGGACAAUUUGUGUGUGAAAAUGACUGACAAUUGUGAAAUCAUAUUAUAUUAGUGCUGUGACAUUACAUAUUGUUAUUGUGUUUUGUGUGAUAUCAUAGUGCUUAUUAUUUUAAGAAACUUGAGCUUUGGAAGUGUAUCAGUAACAUUUAAUUGGUAAUCUUAAAGAGAGAUAGAGAGAGACCAUGAGUUUGAGAAAGUCUGAGUUGGUAAAGAGAAUGAAGAAUGAGCAAUGUAUUAAUUUAAGGAUGUACAAAUAUGGAUGAGUCAGAGAUUGGUAAAUGCUGUAUUUAUUUUUCUUACAUAUUGAAUAAAUAAAUUCAUAUUACCAUGAU